rnacentral:rRNA from 1 species
GACGAACGCUGGCGGCGUGCUUAACACAUGCAAGUCGAGCGGUAAGGCUCCUUCGGGGGUACACGAGCGGCGAACGGGUGAGUAACACGUGAGUAAUCUGCCCCUGGCUCGGGGAUAAGCAUUCGAAAGGGUGUCUAAUACCGGAUAUGACAAUCCUCCGCAUGGGGUGGUUGUGGAAAGUUUUUUCGGCUGGGGAUGUGCUCGCGGCCUAUCAGCUCGUUGGUGGGGUAAUGGCCUACCAAGGCUUUGACGGGUAACCGGCCUGAGAGGGUGACCGGUCACACUGGGACUGAGACACGGCCCAGACUCCUACGGGAGGCAGCAGUGGGGAAUAUUGGACAAUGGGCGGAAGCCUGAUCCAGCAACGCCGCGUGAGGGAUGAAGGCCUUAGGGUUGUAAAGCUCUGUCUUUUGGGACGAUAAUGACGGUACCAAAGGAGGAAGCCACGGCUAACUACGUGCCAGCCGCCGCAGUAA